rnacentral:rRNA from 1 species
UACGUAGGGUGCAAGCGUUGUCCGGAAUUAUUGGGCGUAAAGAGCUCGUAGGCGGUCUGUCGCGUCUGCUGUGAAAACUCGGGGCUUAACCCCGGGACUGCAGUGGGUACGGGCAGACUAGAGUGCGGUAGGGGAGACUGGAAUUCCUGGUGUAGCGGUGAAAUGCGCAGAUAUCAGGAGGAACACCGGUGGCGAAGGCGGGUUUCUGGGCCGUAACUGACACUCAGGGACGAAAGCUAGGGGAGCGAAUGGG